CAGUCGCCGCGGUAAUGCGGAGGGGGCUAGCGUUGUUCGGAAUUACUGGGCGUAAAGCGCACGUAGGCGGCUUUGUAAGUUAGAGGUGAAAGCCUGGGGCUCAACUCCAGAAUUGCCUUUAAGACUGCAUCGCUUGAACGUCGGAGAGGUGAGUGGAAUUCCGAGUGUAGAGGUGAAAUUCGUAGAUAUUCGGAAGAACACCAGUGGCGAAGGCGGCUCACUGGACGACUGUUGACGCUGAGGUGCGAAAGCGUGGAGAGCAAACAGGAUUAGAUACCCCAGUAGUCCCUGUCUCUUAUAC
rnacentral:rRNA from 1 species